GAUGAACGCUGGCGGCGUGCCUAAUACAUGCAAGUCGAGCGAACAGACGAGGAGCUUGCUCCUCUGACGUUAGCGGCGGACGGGUGAGUAACACGUGGAUAACCUACCUAUAAGACUGGGAUAACUUCGGGAAACCGGAGCUAAUACCGGAUAAUAUAUUGAACCGCAUGGUUCAAUAGUGAAAGACGGUUUUGCUGUCACUUAUAGAUGGAUCCGCGCCGCAUUAGCUAGUUGGUAAGGUAACGGCUUACCGAGGCGACGAUGCGUAGCCGACCUGAGAGGGUGAUCGGCCACACUGGAACUGAGACACGGUCCAGACUCCUACGGGAGGCAGCAGUAGGGAAUCUUCCGCAAUGGGCGAAAGCCUGACGGAGCAACGCCGCGUGAGUGAUGAAGGUCUUCGGAUCGUAAAACUCUGUUACUAGGGAAGAACAAAUGUGUAAGUAACUAUGCACGUCUUGACGGUACCUAAUCAGAAAGCCACGGCUAACUACGUG
rnacentral:rRNA from 1 species